rnacentral:rRNA from 1 species
UCAACUCCCAAACCCUUAUGUGAACCUACCUAUCGUUGCUUCGGCGGACUCGCCCCAGCCGGACGCGGACUGGACCAGCGGCCGCCGGGGACCAUCAAACUCUUGUAUUAUCAGCAUCUUCUGAAUACGCCGCAAGGCAAAACAAAUAAAUUAAAACUUUCAACAACGGAUCUCUUGGCUCUGGCAUCGAUGAAGAACGCAGCGAAAUGCGAUAAGUAAUGUGAAUUGCAGAAUCCAGUGAAUCAUCGAAUCUUUGAACGCACAUUGCGCCCGCCAGCAUUCUGGCGGGCAUGCCUGUUCGAGCGUCAUUUCAACCCUCGACCUCCCUUUGGGGAAGUCGGCGUUGGGGACCGGCAGCACACCGCCGGCCCUGAAAUGGAGUGGCGGCCCGUCCGCGGCGACCUCUGCGUAGUAAACCAACUCGCACCGGAACCCCGACGUGGCCACGCCGUAAAACACCCAACUUCUGAACGUUGACCUCGAAUCAGGUAGGACUACCCGCUGAACUUAAGCAUAUCA